rnacentral:rRNA from 1 species
GAGUUUGAUCAUGGCUCAGGAUGAACGCUAGCUACAGGCUUAACACAUGCAAGUCGAGGGGCAGCAUGGUCUUAGCUUGCUAAGGCCGAUGGCGACCGGCGCACGGGUGAGUAACACGUAUCCAACCUGCCGUCUACUCUUGGACAGCCUUCUGAAAGGAAGAUUAAUACAAGAUGGCAUCAUGAGUCCGCAUGUUCACAUGAUUAAAGGUGUUCCGGUAGACGAUGGGGAUGCGUUCCAUUAGAUAGUAGGCGGGGUAACGGCCCACCUAGUCUUCGAUGGAUAGGGGUUCUGAGAGGAAGGUCCCCCACAUUGGAACUGAGACACGGUCCGAACUCCUACGGGAGGCAGCAGUGAGGAAUAUUGGUCAAUGGGCGAGAGCCUGAACCAGCCAAGUAGCGUGAAGGAUGACUGCCCUAUGGGUUGUAAACUUCUUUUAUAAAGGAAUAAAGUCGGGUAUGCAUACCCGUUUGCAUGUACUUUAUGAAUAAGGAUCGGCUAACUCCGUGCCAGCAGCCGCGGUAAUACGGAGGAUCCGAGCGUUAUCCGGAUUUAUUGGGUUUAAAGGGAGCGUAGAUGGAUGUUUAAGUCAGUUGUGAAAGUUUGCGGCUCAACCGUAAAAUUGCAGUUGAUACUGGAUAUCUUGAGUGCAGUUGAGGCAGGCGGAAUUCGUGGUGUAGCGGUGAAAUGCUUAGAUAUCACGAAGAACUCCGAUUGCGAAGGCAGCCUGCUAAGCUGCAACUGACAUUGAGGCUCGAAAGUGUGGGUAUCAAACAGGAUUAGAUACCCUGGUAGUCCACACGGUAAACGAUGAAUACUCGCUGUUUGCGAUAUACUGCAAGCGGCCAAGCGAAAGCGUUAAGUAUUCCACCUGGGGAGUACGCCGGCAACGGUGAAACUCAAAGGAAUUGACGG